AGCUUUAUAUUCAAAAAUGAUAUAAAAUUGCAAAUUUUAUGGUGUAAAUAUUACUAAGGCUU
rnacentral:tRNA from 1 species